rnacentral:snRNA from 1 species
UGCUUUGCAUAGUGGCCGUAUCGUAGCCAAUGAGUUUUAUCUGAGGCGGGAUUAUUGCCAAUUGAAAACUUUUCCCACUGAUG